rnacentral:rRNA from 1 species
AUUGAACGCUGGCGGCAGGCCUAACACAUGCAAGUCGAGCGGAUGAGAGGAGCUUGCUCCUCGAUUCAGCGGCGGACGGGUGAGUAAUGCCUAGGAAUCUGCCUAGUAGUGGGGGACAACGUUUCGAAAGGAACGCUAAUACCGCAUACGUCCUACGGGAGAAAGUGGGGGAUCUUCGGACCUCACGCUAUUAGAUGAGCCUAGGUCGGAUUAGCUAGUUGGUAGGGUAAAGGCCUACCAAGGCGACGAUCCGUAACUGGUCUGAGAGGAUGAUCAGUCACACUGGAACUGAGACACGGUCCAGACUCCUACGGGAGUCAGCAGUGGGGAAUAUUGGACAAUGGGCGAAAGCCUGAUCCAGCCAUGCCGCGUGUGUGAAGAAGGCCUUCGGGUCGUAAAGCACUUUAAGUUGGGAGGAAGGGCUCAUAGCGAAUACCUGUGAGUUUUGACGUUACCAACAGAAUAAGCACCGGCUAACUACGUGCCAGCAGCCGCAGUAACAC